rnacentral:rRNA from 1 species
UACGUAGGGACCGAGCGUUGUCCGGAAUCAUUGGGCGUAAAGAGCGUGUAGGCGGCUAUUUAAGUCCUGCGUGAAAUCCUGCGGCUCAACCGCAGACGGUCGUGGGAAACUGGAUGGCUAGAGUGCGGGAGAGGAGAGUGGAAUUCCCGGUGUAGCGGUGAAAUGCGCAGAUAUCAGGAGGAACACCAAUGGCGAAGGCAGCUCACUGGGACGGUACUGACGCUGAGACGCGAAAGCGUGGGGAGCAAACAGG